GAUGUUCAACUACAUCCCGUUUAUUCAAUAUGGUUCAGGGAUUUUUUCAGCUGCCAUAACUUUAAUUCCGUAGAUCCCAGUGUCAAAUUUUCUUUCUAAACUUCUUUAUAAAAAAAAACUACCACUGUAGCCUGGGCUGUUGACUAUCACAAUGAAAGACUACAGGCCAGAGGGCUGUGAUCUAAUGAAAGACUACAGGAGGGCUGUGAUCUAAUGAAAGACUACAGGAGACCUGUUGACUAUCACAAUGAAAGACUACAGGAAAGUGAGUGACCAGUUUCCCGGCCACCCACCUACAGCUCCGGAGCCCCGGUUUAUAACCCACACACUACAUGGGUGAACUGCAACAAGUCAAAAACGUAGGAGGAAGGGGAUCUUUUACCCUCGAUCCCAGGCCGCACUGAAGAUGAGGCCUUCUUGUGUGAAGGAGGCCAGCUAGGAUCUUUGUGUAUAGAUCUACCUACGUACUCUCUGAGCUGAGGCUGAACACAGAAAAGGUACUGAUUGUAAGUACUUGGGUAUCAAGUACAGUGCUACAAUCGAAACAUGACAGUGGAGGGAGUUUAAUAAUACAGCAGAUAAUUAGGGUAGGUAUUAAGAGUAUAGAUGGACCCGGUAUAGCCGUACCGUCUAGUUCUCUAUUGUGUGUGUAGCUGACUGGGGUCAGUUCUCAGUGAGCGUCCCCUCAAGUCUGGGGGGGGUUAUGUUGUGGGGUUCAUGGCUUGCCUGCUGUGUUUGUUUGACUGGAGGGGUCAACGGAGCUGGAGGUACUAGUAACGGAGGUGUAUCAGAAAGUGAACUAAAGAGAGGUGGUCUCAACAAGAUAGCCAGCUGCUCGGACGAGGGGACAAGAAAUGACUUCUCUGAACCACUACUACAAGAUAUUGUGACACACUUUGUUUGCAGUUGGCAAACAAUGACAACGAUUAUGGAAGGCCUUAAAUGGACUUGUUUUCCAUGGCAACCUGCACUUACACACUUGGUACAAAGAGAACAAUUUAUAAUGUGUGAUGUUGACUCUUUUAAUACUGCUAAUCAGGAAUACUAUACAAUGUCUGCACGAUUGUUGCUCUCAAAAUUAAUAGUGCAAUGUUUAAUUCAGAA